GUACUGAUGAAGAGUCCCAAACUAGGACGAAACAGCUAGUUGUCCAGUAC
rfam:Trichobilharzia regenti genome assembly, scaffold: TRE_scaffold0003206